AAAAAAGCCUGAUCUCAGUAUGUGAUGGGCCGGGUUGAAAAAGAGUUGGCUUGCUUGGGCCUUAGAAACAGGACGUACAAGUAUCCAGCUCAAGUAACAUACAAGUCGUUGGUUUGCGGGUUGAUUAUUUACCAGUAAACUGACAGGAGUGACUCCUCCUAGUAGCCCAAUCCAUCCGAAGCAAGGUCUAGAACCCAGCAUCAUCUGAAUGUCGUACAGGAAGCGCCUCCCACCGUAAAGAAACUACAAUGAAAUUCAUCACGAGGAAAUAGGUAUGAAUCGACCAACAGUGUAUGCGGAUGAACGUUGUUGCAACUUCGGUGAUCCAUGUACCUCUGAUCAU